AAAUUGAAGAGUUUGAUCAUGGCUCAGAUUGAACGCUGGCGGCAGGCCUAACACAUGCAAGUCGAACGGUAACAGGAAGCAGCUUGCUGCUUUGCUGACGAGUGGCGGACGGGUGAGUAAUGUCUGGGAAACUGCCUGAUGGAGGGGGAUAACUACUGGAAACGGUGGCUAAUACCGCAUAACAUCGCAAGACCAAAGAGGGGGACCUUCGGGCCUCUUGCCAUCAGAUGUGCCCAGAUGGGAUUAGCUUGUUGGUGAGGUAACGGCUCACCAAGGCGACGAUCCCUAGCUGGUCUGAGAGGAUGACCAGCCACACUGGAACUGAGACACGGUCCAGACUCCUACGGGAGGCAGCAGUGGGGAAUAUUGCACAAUGGGCGCAAGCCUGAUGCAGCCAUGCCGCGUGUAUGAAGAAGGCCUUCGGGUUGUAAAGUACUUUCAGCGGGGAGGAAGGUGUUG
rnacentral:rRNA from 1 species